GACGAACGCUGGCGGCGUGCUUAACACAUGCAAGUCGAACGGAAAGGCCUCUUUCGGGGGGUACUCGAGUGGCGAACGGGUGAGUAACACGUGAGUAACCUGCCCUUGACUUUGGGAUAACUUCAGGAAACUGGGGCUAAUACCGGAUAGGAGCUCCUGCUGCAUGGUGGGGGUGGGAAAGUUUCGGCGGUUGGGGAUGGACUCGCGGCUUAUCAGCUUGUUGGUGGGGUAGUGGCUUACCAAGGCUUUGACGGGUAGCCGGCCUGAGAGGGUGACCGGCCCCAUUGGGACUGAGGUACGGCCCAGACUCCUACGGGAGGCAGCAGUGGGGAAUAUUGCACCAUGGGUGGGAGCCUGAUGCAGCAACGCCGUGUGCGGGAUGACGGCCUUCGGGUUGUAAACCGCUUUCGCUCAUGACGAAGCUUUGUGUGACGGUAGUGGGUAAAGAAGCACCGGCUAACUACGUG
rnacentral:rRNA from 1 species